GCUCCCGUAGCUCAGUUGGAUAGAGCAGCGGUUUUCUAAACCGCUAGUCGCUGGUUCGAAUCCAGCCGGGAGUGCCA
rnacentral:tRNA from 1 species